rnacentral:rRNA from 1 species
CCUACGGGCGACAGCAGUGGGGAAUAUUGCGCAAUGGGCGAAAGCCUGACGCAGCGACGCCGCGUGAGGGAUGAAGGUCUUCGGAUCGUAAACCUCUGUCAGCAGGGAAGAACGGUCACUGUGCUAAUCAGCAGUGAAUUGACGGUACCUGCAAAGGAAGCACCGGCUAACUCCGUGCCAGCAGCCGCGGUAAUACGGAGGGUGCGAGCGUUAAUCGGAAUUACUGGGCGUAAAGCGCUCGUAGGCGGUAUGUCAAGUCAAGGGUGAAAUCCCCGCGCUCAACGUGGGAACUGCCUUUGAAACUGGCAAACUGGAGUGUGUGAGAGGAUAGUGGAAUUCCAGGUGUAGGAGUGAAAGCCGUAGAUAUCUGGAGGAACAUCAGUGGCGAAGGCGACUAUCUGGCACAUAACUGACGCUGAGGAGCGAAAGCGUGGGUAGCAAACAGGAUUAGAUACCCCAGUAGUC